CAGAGUUUAAGUUUCGUUGCCUUGAAAAGUGAGGAAACAUAUUUAUGUUCCUUUUCUCUCUCCCUCUCUCUCUUUCUCUCUCUCUGUCUCCCUCUCCCUCUCCCUCUCCCUCUCUCUGUCUCUCUGUCUCUCUGUCUCUCUGUCUCUCUGUCUCUCUGUCUCUCUGUCUCUCUGUCUCUCUCUCUCUCUGUCUCUCUCUCUGUCUCUCUGUCUCUCUCUCUGUCUCUCUCUCUCUCUCCUGUCUAAGAAGACUCUACUCUUCGGUGAUGAUGAUGCUGAGGACUGUUGCUAUGACGACCUGCCCUGGGUUCCGCUCACACCCCAAAAAGAGAGAGCGACCUGUCCGUCAGCUGAAAAGAGGCGGGAUCAAACUAACCACGCCCCCACUCAGGAGAAGGAGCCAAUCACACACCACCACCGUCGCCAGGAGAGGCGGGACCGAGGCCUGGAACGGACCAAUGAAAACAAAGAGAACGUUGCCGUGGCCAAUAAGGAUGCUGAUAUAUUUGCUUUGCCCGCCCCCCGAACCCCAGUAG
rnacentral:lncRNA from 1 species